UAGUCUCCCACUCAUCAGCAGUAUUCCAGGUUGUUGCAUUUGUCACUUUCUUCAAUCAACAAUAGCAACAUUGAGGGCCUUAGAGUGGCUAUGGAAAUGUAGGGUUGUCAACUGGCUACAGUUGCUCAAGGUUGCAAAAUCUCAAUCCAGGAGCAAGUUGCGAGGACAAACCCUAUUCACUGUCAGGAUGGUUCAGUGAUGAGGGCAAGCUUAUCUUGAUCCUUGUCAUGCUCUAUGGAAGGUUGAAGAAAUUCAGUGCAGGAUGUGGUAAAUCCUGGAAGCUAUAUUGAGGGACACAAAAUUAUGACUCUGAAUACGAUUAAUUAGCUAAAUGAGAAGAUUAGAUUCUAUAUGUAACGAAAUUGUGUAAUU